rnacentral:rRNA from 1 species
AUUGAACGCUGGCGGCAGGCCUAACACAUGCAAGUCGAGCGGAGCGGCGGACGGGCGAGUAAUGCCUAGGAAUCUGCCUGGUAGUGGGGGAUAACGUCCGGAAACGGGCGCUAAUACCUCAUACUUUCAGUUGAGCCUAGGUCGGAUUAGCUAGUUUGUGGGGUAAAGGCCUACCAAGGCGACGAUCCGUAACUGGUCUGAGAGGAGGAUCAGUCAAACUGGAACUGAGAAACGGUCCAGACUCCUACGGUAGGCAGCAGUGGGGAAUAUUGGACAAUGGGCGAAAGCCUGAUCCAGCCAUGCCGCGUGUGUGAAGAAGGUCUUCGGGUUGUAAAGCACUUUAAGUUGGGAGGCGUUACCAGCAGAAUAAGCACCGGCUAACUUCGUGCCAGCAGCCGCGGUAAUAC